UAAUAUUUUAGUGGUAGAUCCCCAUAUAAUUAUGAUAGAUCUUUAUUUGAUUGCUCAAAACCUUCACUUUUUUUAGUCCGUGUUGAGGGAUUUUAGGCAAAUGUUAAGAUCUUUUCAACAAUAUA
rfam:Populus trichocarpa isolate Nisqually-1 chromosome 11, whole genome shotgun sequence.